rnacentral:lncRNA from 1 species
CAAGUAAGCAGUAACGUUGACAAUGACUUUCUACUCCCAGCACAUGAGGAAGCAUACCCAUGCCACAGCUUAGAGAGCAAUUACAGCUUUUGGAGACCAGCUGGCCCAUCUGUUCCUGGUGCUGCUGCUACUACCAGCAAGGUGGAGUUCAGCUUGAAGAAGCUGCUCAGGCUUUUUCUUGGGCCUGUCUCUCACACUCAUUGUGCUUCUGACACCACCUCUGCUGUGCCAGAGUGUACAAACAGGCAGUGUGGAGAAAAAAGAAAACUGCUUAAUAUUCUGUGAGAGCUCCUUGUGCUAUGGAUCACUGUGAAGGGAGCACAGUCCUGAGGGCAGCAGCUCCUGUCUGCAGCACACAGAGCACAUCUGAGGCAACGCAGAGAUGUGGUCGCAUCUGCUGAGCAAGAAUUGGACACCUUUCCACAAUCCUGGGAGCAGCUGGGCAUGUUUGGAGACCUGCCAUGACUUUGAAGGCACUUCAGUCAUUGCCUGCUGCUUUGCAGCCCAUGAUUAAUCUUGGCUGUAAGGAUGAUUCAGAAUGGAACUGCAAAGCAAAGCAAAACCUUCUUUCUGCAUUCUGCAACUCAGAGAAAAAGGUACCUAGGGUAUCUCAGCCUCCUGAAUAUACCUCUGAAGUCGUGAUGAUCACCUGCUUGGUGUAGGAAUCCACCCUCUGAGAGCUACCCUAAGGCCACCAUCUAACAAGAGGCCCCAGUGCUAGAUGGGAUGCCAGGUGCCAUUUCCUUGCAGCAGUGCCAGUUCGAGCCCCUCCACCUGCCUACCUGGGGUGCCAAGGACACUGAAACAACUGCUUCUCAGUCACCUGGUAAAAUGUUUUGGGGUUUUUUUCCCGGUUUAUUUUUAACACAGGUCAGUUCACUGAUCUCAUUUUCCAUGUGGCCUUAGUGGGUACCUUGGGAAGAAAUAGUUGUGCCAAAACAAACAGUGUGAGAUGGGAA